CAGAGGGGGCAAGCGUUGUUCGGAAUUACUGGGCGUAAAGGGCGCGUAGGCGGCCUUCUAAGUCGAACGUGAAAUCCCCGGGCUCAACCCGGGAACUGCGUCCGAUACUGGAAGGCUAGAAUCCGGGAGAGGGAUGCGGAAUUCCAGGUGUAGCGGUGAAAUGCGUAGAUAUCUGGAGGAACACCGGUGGCGAAGGCGGCAUCCUGGACCGGUAUUGACGCUGAGGCGCGAAAGCCAGGGGAGCAAACGGGAUUAGAUACCCCGGUAGUCCUGGCCCUAAACGAUGAAUGCUUGGUGUGGCGGGUAUCGAUCCCUGCCGUGCCGAAGCUAACGCAUUAAGCAUUCCGCCUGGGGAGUACGGUCGCAAGGCUG
rnacentral:rRNA from 1 species